AAAACAUGUCUCUUUGUAAAAUAUAAAUAGAGAGUCGGGCCUGCUCGGUGAAUAAGUUUUUAACAGCUGCGGUAUUUUAACUGUACUAAGGUAGCAUAAUAAUUUGCCUUAUAAUUUGAGGCUAGAAUGAAUGGUUUGACGAAGGUUAAUCUGUCUCCAUCUUAUUUUUUAGAAUUUAAUUUUUAAAGUGAAAAAGCUUAAAUUUUUUAAAGGGACGAGAAGACCCUAAUGAGCUUAUAAUUUUAUUAUCAUUAUCUAAAACAUUUAGGUGGUGGUAUAUAAAUUUUAAUUGGGGUGAUUAAGGAAUAAAUUGUGUAUAGUAACUUCCUUAAACUAGGUAUUUGUAGAUAAAGUAACCAAUAUAAUAUUGCUUAUAAUAUAGUUACCAUAGGGAUAACAGCGUAAUUUGUUUAGAG
rnacentral:rRNA from 1 species